CAUGAAAUAAGCGCAAGCUAGUGGAAUAAUUGAGUCUUGGGCCCAAUCACGAGCCCACUGAAGUAGAGAAGGAAGAUCAGGGGCGUGUUGGUCAGGUCAAUUAAGCCAUAUGUUAUGGCCCUUCCAAUACUUUAGCGGACACUUUCAUCAAACUAAUUUGGUGUUCAAAAUUUGUUAAGGCAGGCAUUUACGCAAGCAAGGAUUUAACGGGCAAACAGAUGAUUGAUAUCCAGGCUCGACUUUCAAAUUUCAAACAAACCAAUUCUUAUAUGCUCUUUCCUAACUAUCAGACAAACUUAAAUGAACAGCUCGGCUAAUAUUCUAUUUAUCAAAGACUAAGAAUCAUCAAAACUGCCCAAUGUCCUAUCAUGUUAUUUUUGAAUGAGUUCAUUAAACUGCUGACAGAUCUUCAACUGAAAUUAACUCAACCUUUUAUACUAACUUAACAUGAAGUUAAUUCACUUUUCAAAGCUCGUAUUCAUUUGAAAUAGAAUGACUAACAGUACAACUAAUUUCAAUAGUCCUGUAUACAACCUGAUUUUCGACCUUAGUUAUGCAAUCCAAAUAUUACAGUAAUAAUGCUAGUCAGUCCCAAUUAUACAGUCCAAAAAUCCAUUAUCAUGAUGACAUUUAAAUACAAAUAAUGAAGUGAAGCUAGGCUGAAUUGAAACUAUGUCAACUAACAGAUACUGUGAAAACUAACUUCACGAUCUAGUUUGAACGAAAACAGAACAAAGAAGACAACGACUAAGGCAAAAACCAUGCUUCCAAUUCACAUACAUUCAUUUCUGCAUACAUCCAACUCACAAUUGUCAUGGAUACAGUUUGUGUACCUGGAAUUUGAAGUUAAGCAGAAGGAGAAGAAGUCAGCAAUAGCAAGGUAGUCAGCAGAACGAAACUCCUGCAAUAAACACAGUUAGUUUCAAUUUCGAAAACUGAAUCAGUGGUCCAAGAAGUUUGAACCAAAUAGGACUAGGAAAUCAGACCCCAAGCAGUACCAAAAUGAAUCAAAUAGACUUGAAAUCAAACCCAAACCACACUAAAAACUUUCAGCAACCCAAGCUCAAUCAAAACCAGUUUAGUUGGACACAAAACCCCUCGAAAAUCAGCCUAGUGAAUAUCUAAAGUAACAGCAACCGAGUACUGAACUAGAAAAGGGUACCUUAGUACACUGAACACUUACCUAAUCUUGAAUCUUGAAAGUAGAGUCUCUUUUUCAAUCAACUGGCAUACCUUGAACCUAGCCCGAAAUUCUUUCUUUACUUUAUCUUAUCAAAUUUCUAGUUUGUGAUCGAGGGCGGCCAAAUAUGAGAUAGGUUGCAGCUAUAGUCAGAACUGAACCUGGCUAAUUUCGUAAUGUUGACCCCACGGAGCGGUAGCGAAGGAGACAGCAAAUGGAUGGAAAUUCUCCACUUUAUGGCUGCCGCCGCUUCUAUCUCCGGCGCUCUGAAUAUCGGGUAUGAUUGUUACUUUCUUGCCUUGCCCCACUCCCACCCACCUCUUCCGAAAAGACAACCUCGAUCAUUCAUUACAUAUGAUAUAUCGAGAGUUCAAGACUAAUUGCAAGUUGAAAUUAGCCUAAAGUAUCUAAUGGAACAGUACAUUUUGGUUUUUGUUGGAGAGUUUUUGUUGUUUAUUUAAUUUUUGUAUGUAUUUUUUUUUUUGUAUUUUCUGUGUAUAUGAAUGCUGAAAAUAAUCUAAGACUAGAAUGAAAGAAGAAAUCCAAUUUUCAUAUGAAAUUUUUAGGCUGAAAAAUGGAAUCCUUUUCACAAGGCAAUGGAUGCCUUUUUAUAGGCAAGAAUGAGGGCAACCCUCGGGUUUUUACUUUUCUUUUUAUCCCUUGCUCAUUUUUCACUUUAAACAUUAAUUUUCUAACUUGCUCCUCAAGUUACUCCCUAAGUUUUACUGAAAUCUACCCUAAAGUCCUAUUCUAGGAGCUUCUAGAAUGCUCUUUUAGCCUCAAAAUACCCUUACUAUCCUUACCCCUUCCUUGAAAUUACUAAUUCUUAAUAUAUUAUCCUUUUCCAUGGCCCAAACUACCCUUGCCAAUUCUUAAAAUUACUGCAACCCUUUCCCCUUUGACCUUUGUCCAAUUUAACCUUGUUAACCUCCUAGAAUUACUAAACCCUUCAUCACUAGAACUAACUAACAGUUAUAACCAAUCAGAAUUACUCUAAAUAUUAGCAAAACAAUUAACAAAUAUCCAACUAAAAUCAAUCCCAACCAUUCCCAAGCAUUGCAUGAGCAUAACUCAAAACAAUCCUAAUUAAAACUACUGAUUAACCAUCUAAGAACUUUCAGCAACUAAGAAAGCAAUAAAUUAAUAACCAGGAAAACUAAAACAGAAUCGAAACUAUCAGGAUGAAACUCAGAUGCAAGAAGAAAGAUUGAAUGCAAUUAACCACUAAACUUCAAUUAACCCCAAAUUAAAUUUUCAUGCAGACUACUUACUGAUUACUAAUCAAACUUAAACUACAGCUAAUCAAAUUGACUAAACAAAACAAACCAAAGCCAAAUUAAUAGAUACUAACCAAGCAGCAAUUGAUAUAUGCAUGAUUAGACUAACAUAUUCUAAACAGAAAUUGAAAACAUAAAUAAGAAGACUUAAUAUGAAGAUCAAUUGAAAUAGAAACAAUCCCCGAACAAGCCAGACGAGACGACCUGGAUGUGGAAUUGAGGGUGGUCCAGUGAGAUUCGAGGGCUUCUUGCUGGGAUUCCAGAUAAGGGAGCCAUGGGGACUAUGAGGUGUGAAUUUGAGCCGAUUUGGAUGAAAUUAUAUUUUGACCGGACUUUUCGAAUUAAGAUUCGACCACUUGAGUGAUGAUUCGAAGAAAAUAGUUAGUAUGGUUGGAAAGAGGAGAGUGAGUAGAGUGGGUGGUGUUAGUUUGGUGGUGAUUGGAAGCGGGGCGGCCACCCUAGGGCGGUGGAAUUUGGUGGGGGUGGUCUCUAGGCUUUUGAGAGAGGAGUGGGGUGUGAGGACGAUGACUGAANNNN
rnacentral:lncRNA from 1 species